UACGUAGGGGGCAAGCGUUGUCCGGAAUCAUUGGGCGUAAAGAGCGUGUAGGCGGUCCGGUCAGUCGGUUGUGAAAGUCAAGGGCUCAACCCUUGAAUGCCGGCCGAUACUGCCGGGCUAGAGUCCGGAAGAGGCGAGUGGAAUUCCUGGUGUAGCGGUGAAAUGCGCAGAUAUCAGGAGGAACACCAAUGGCGAAGGCAGCUCGCUGGGACGUGACUGACGCUGAGACGCGAAAGCGUGGGGAGCAAACAGG
rnacentral:rRNA from 1 species